CCUGGUUGAUCCUGCCAGCGGUGAUAUGCUCAGAUAAAAGAUUAAGCCAUGCAUGUCUAAGAACAUAUGUGUAAACAUGAAUCUGCGAACGGCUCAUUAUUAACACCCGUAAUCUACCCAGUUUUCAUAUCCAAAACGGAUAUCUGCGUUAAUUUUGGAGCUAAUACGUGCACCAACGUACCGCUAGCAAUAGUGGUAUGCACUUGUUAGUAUAAGGCCGACUGGGGCAACCCGAUUGGUGACUCUGAACAAUUUUUGCGGAUCGCAUGGUCUUGUACCGGCGACUUACUGGUCGAGCGGGUGCCCUAUCAACUAUUGAUGGAAGUCUAUGUGUCUUCCAUGGUUGUAACGGGUAACGGAGAAUCAGGGUUCGACUCCGGAGAGCUAGCCUUAGAAACGGCUAUCACAUCCAAGGAAGGCAGCAGGCGCGUAAAUUACCCACUCUCAAUUCGAGGAGGUAGUGACUAUCAAUAACGAGACAGAUCUCUUUGAGGUCUGUCAUUGAAAUGAGCACAACUUAAAGACUUUAACGAAGUCUAUGGGAGGGCAAGUCUGGUGCCAGCAGCCGCGGUAAUUCCAGCUCCCAACGUGUAUAUCGUCAUUGCUGCGGUUAAAAAGCUCGUAGUUGGAUCUUAGCUUAUGACAGUAGUUCACCAUGUGUGAUACUGCGUGUCUGAGCUGUUUCGCCGGUUUUCCUUGGUUUCGGCCUUGGUGACUGGUGUUGUAACUUUGAUUAAAUCAAUGUGAUUAAAACAGGCGUUCGCUUGUAUGCUUUAUCAUGGAAUAAUAGAAUAUGACUUCGGUCCAUUCUGUUGGUCUUGGGAUCGAAGUAAUGAUUAAAAGGAACAACUCGGGGGCAUCCGUAUCGCUGCGUGAGAGGUGAAAUUCUUGGACCGCAGCGAGACGACCUAUUGCGAAAGCAUUUGCCAAGAAUGUUUUCAUUAAUCAAGAACGAAAGUCAGAGGAUCGAAGGCGAUUAGAUACCGCCCUAGUUCUGACCGUAAACUAUGCCAACUAGCGAUCAGGUGGUGGUAGUUUAGCCCUGCCUGGGAGCUUCUCGGAAACGAAAGUCUUCGGGUUCCGGGGGUAGUAUGGUUGCAAAUCUGAAACUUAAAGGAAUUGACGGAAGGGCACCACCAGGAGUGGAGCCU
rnacentral:rRNA from 1 species